GUGGAUAUUCCUGCUGCUACUUAUGCGGUCGAGCUGAUGAUUCCCGAUACCUUGCUAUUUUUAUGAAGAUCGGCGAACGGGUGACUAACGCGUGGUAAAUGUGCCGAGUAUCGCAGGGACAACGUUUGGAAACGAACGCCAAUACCGCAUAACAAUGAGAAUCGCAUGAUUCUUAUUUAAAAGAAGCAAUUGCUUCACUACUUGAUGAUCCCGCGUUGUAUUAGCUAGUUGGUAGUGUAAAGGACUACCAAGGCGAUGAUACAUAGCCGACCUGAGAGGGUGAUCGGCCACACUGGGACUGAGACACGGCCCAGACUCCUACGGGAGGCAGCAGUAGGGAAUCUUCGGCAAUGGGGGCAACCCUGACCGAGCAACGCCGCGUGAGUGAAGAAGGUUUUCGGAUCGUAAAACUCUGUUGUUAGAGAAGAACGUUAAGUAGAGUGGAAAAUUACUUAAGUGACGGUAUCUAACCAGAAAGGGACGGCUAACUACGUGCCAGCAGCCGCGGUAAUACGUAGGUCCCAAGCGUUGUCCGGAUUUAUUGGGCGUAAAGCGAGCGCAGUGGUUUCUUAAGUCUGAUGUAAAAGGCAGUGGCUCAACCAUUGUGUGCAUUGGAAACUGGG
rnacentral:rRNA from 1 species